CAGUAAUACGUCACACUCUAUUUUAUUUAUUGUAUUAUUCCCAAUUUUAUUUUAUUCUUGUAUUUAUUCGUGCAAAAAUGUGGAAAGUGCAGGCCCUUGUCGUGCACCUCUUGUUGAUGGGAUCCAUUCUGAGCACUUAUUUCCAACCAACUUUGCUGCCGAACCUCGUGCCGCAAAAGACUUUGCGGGAUUGGGGAUUUGAACCGCCAGCGGAUCGAUUGGUGGUAUUUCUGACCGAUGGCCUAAGAGCAGCUACCUUUCUCGCCAAUAAUGGCAGCGAUGUUCCGGACCUCAGGGAUAUAUUCCGAAAGCAGGGGCGAAUUGGAAUAUCCCGCACCUGUGCUCCCACAAUGACGCGCCCUGGACACAUUGCCAUUUUCGGUGGCUUCGACGAGGAUCCGGCAGCGGCGUUGGUCAACUUUCGCUACAACCCCAGCAAAUUCGACACCGUCUUCAAUCGCAGCAGAAAUACCAUUGGCUGGGCCCAUAGAAACGUGGUGAAUUUCUUCGUAAACCUGCCGAACGGAGGUGCCCCGUUGCGUUUCGAGUCCUACAUGGAGAGGGAAUUGCCGGAAAAGCUCACAUGUGACAAGUGGACUUUCGAAAAGGUUCAAAAGUUCUUCAAGAACGGCGAUAAUGUUCGGGAAUUUCGCCACCUCAAGUCGGUGGUGUUUUUCGUCUACUUGGGCGACAUGGACAUAGCUGCCCAUCGGUUCAAGCCCCUCAGCAAAAAGUUUAACAAGAAGCUUCAGUACACACAGCGGGGAAUUCGCACGACCUAUGAACUCUUCGAGCGGGUCUUUAAUGACAGCCGAACGGCCUAUCUGAUGACAUCCGAUCAUGGCAUGAGUGACGAGGGAAUCCAUGGCGGUGGAUCCACACUUGAAGUUGAAACGCCUUUGUUUAUGUGGGGUGCUGGUGUGAGUCGGGAACAAACGGAUUCCGAAGCCAAUUUCCCUAGCAAAGCCAACAUUUCCGAGCUGGAUCAGACUCAACUGGCGCCGCUAAUGUCGGCUUUGAUUGGUCUUCCACCGCCAAUGAACAAUCUAGCCCUUAUGCCAAUGGGCUACCUAAAUGUCAGCGCCGAAUACGAAGUUAUGGCCUUGCACCUAAACGUCCUGCAAUUAAUGUGCCAAGCUGAAGUUCUUAUUCAACGAUUUGAGAGCGCCAUUUUCUACAAGUGGCUACCCCAGUUCAUGGAUCUGGACUUGGAACAGAUUAAUCAGUAUGCAAGUAAGUUGAUUGCCCUGAAAGCACAAGGAAAUAUCAAAGAGGCAAUGGAGACUUGCCAGAAAUUCGGAAAGUCAGCUCAGAAAUGCUUGGCGUACUACCAUAACUACUAUUUUCUGCCCUUGAUGGUGGCCACUACUUUAUCCUACCUCAUUUGGUUCUACUGUCUUAUUCUUCAACUAAGUCGAUUAUGCAAAGAGGAGAAAGAGGAGAGAAAGGGUUUUGCUACUUUCUCAACCCUGAUAUUAGUGCUCUUGGGAAUUUUAUUUCUAAUUUUGUUGCGGCUGCAAAAUGUGCCGCAUAUUACCUCUUUUUAUCUACUUUUACCGGUUGGCAUGCUAAUAAUGGCUCAGGCAGAACGACCUGCAAAAAGGGGCUGGACUAUGACCCUAACACUAAUAUGGCACUUGACCUGCAUUUUGCUGCCCGCUUGUCUUCUGAUACUGAUGACUUUCGUUUAUCGACACCUCUGGCUGCUAUAUGCUGUCUCUGUGCUCCUGAACAAUCGAAGGGCUUUCCUGAGGCGCUCGUUGAAAUUUUUUAUAUGGCUGACCCUGGUCUCACUUCUAAGUGGAAUGCUGUUCUUACUGAACUUUAAAAGCUUACUUAAGAGACUUCCCCUAAAAAACUACUACGUCCUGUAUAUUAGCAUGCUGUUGGCUAUUUUCCGUCCUUUGAUCUUGGGACAUAGACAUGAUCCCCGGGUCUGGGCAGUCAAUUCGAUGGCUCUGAUAGCCGGAGCCAUUGGAGUUUAUCAAUACGAGGUGAAGGAGAAGGUGUCUGUUUAUAUCUAUGCCGCAACCUGGUCGUUUCUGCUCUUCGCAUUUCUCUCGAUCCGGUACUUUGAAAGAACCACUUCGAUGGCCAGAAGAAAAUUGGAACUUAUUACCAUCAACAUGGUCACUAUUAUCACUCUGCUUUCCACUUCUUGGGGCUCAUUAAACGUGCAAAUCGUGAUAACCGAAUUUGUAUUGGGCCUCCAGGUGUAUGAGGACUCAAGGCGAAGCAAAGAAGUUGAAGAUCUGGAGGAGGAGCACGAUUCUCUGAAGAGCCUGAAACGAUUCUACCGCUAUGCAUUUAUGAUUCUCCUUUAUUUCUAUGUAGCCUUUUCCCUGGCUGGACACUGGCUGUCCACCUUUUUGUUCAAGUCGACAACCGCACGACUGUUUUAUCCCCACUUUUCUCUGUACUUGUCGGGCAGUCUGCUGAUUCUAAAGAUUUUACUUCCUUCCCUCAUCAUUAUCUCGGCCCUGUAUGCCAUGGUUCCAUUUUUCCGGAAAAACACCAGAGCGAUUUUGAUAUGCGUUUUCCUCAUCAGCGACGCCAUGGGCCUGUACAUGUAUUACUUUGUGCGAAAUCGGGGAACUUGGCCUACGAUACGCAAGUUUCUGGAUCAGGCAUUGCUGACCCAUGCUGUUAACUUCAUGCUUCUGGGAUGUGUGUGCUUGGCCAAGAUUUUCCUGGCCAAUACAACAAUGGAAAAGCCAGAUAAUACAAACGUGAGAUCUGCUCGAAGAAAUUCAUCAUCUGAAGAUACUAGGGCUUGAAAUGUUUUUUUGCAACUGUAACCAAAUUUUGGAACCAAAAUUCAAAUCGUAGAAAUAUCUGAGGAAAAGCAAACUAGCGAUUAUCUUGAGGAGAAGCCAGCUGCAUAAAAUUCGAUGGCGAAGAGGAAUUCAUCGAAUUACAAACAUUUCUUUGGCAUUGCUUGCCCUUCAAGCAAACUGGCAAAGUUGAAAAGAGUUUGCGGUGGUAAAAGUGGAGGCCAUACUGGACAUAUCGGAUAUCCAAUCGCUGAUCAAUCUGGGUCUUUCAUUUUCAAUAACCGACAAGUUUUUGGAGCCGCUUAAAGAUCCAGUUCAGAUGCAAAAACCGCAAAGCGCCAGUGGGUCUUCAGUCGGAACAUCACCACAGAUUAGAGUGCCCCAAGUGGCGUUACCUGAAUCCAGAUUUUUUAGACGAGUACAUCCAGCACAUUAUCCGUGCAGGACAUCGGGUUGUACCCUCCCUGGAGUACAUGAAGCCAGGACAGCUGAUGUCCUGCUGCCACGAAGCCUUGGUGAAAAAAUCAUUAAAUAAAUACUCGUAAGCCAGUAG